rfam:Vibrio rumoiensis 1S-45 1S-45_contig_176, whole genome shotgun sequence.
UUCCGACUCAUUUUUCCUUUGUGUAAUGUUGUUAUUUCCGAAUGCCAGCAUGGAUGCUGGCUUAGGCUUCUUCGGCACAUGGAUGUGCCGUUGAAGCCGUUCGGAAAAAUAACCACAUGGAGCAAAGAAACAGAAAAAUGU